rnacentral:rRNA from 1 species
GACAGAGGCCUCAAGCGUUAGGCGGAAUCACUGGGCUUAAAGCGUGUGUAGGCGGGUCGUUAAGUACCUUGUGAAAUCCCACGGCUCACCCGUGGAACUGCUGGGUAUGACUGGCGAUCUUGGGCCAUUUAGGGGCAACUGGAACAAGCGGUGGAGCGGUGAAAUGCGUAGAUAAUCGCUUGGAACGCCAAAGGUGAAAACAGGUUGCUGGGGAAU